CUGGAUGUGUUGGGUUUUUAGAGUUUAUCCGUGGCUGCUGAAGCUUGAUUUUCCUGCUGGCGAGAACACGGGACGCUAUGGAUUUGUUGCAGUCGGUGGAUGAGGAUGAACGCAGAAGAGGAAAUCUAGGAGGCAGUUGUUUGGGAUGAUCAUCCAAUUGGCCAUGGAUUACUUGGACGUGGGAGAGGGUGAUUCUAGAGAAAGCUGAAGUCGGGGAUUCGGUUGGAUGCGGGAUGAUGCAGUUGGGAUAACGUUCACGAACGGAAGGAGGUGGGAUUCCAGGAGAAGCUGGAAAGCUUGAGAAUCCGUAGAUGAAUCUAUUGGAUGCAGGAGGAGAUAAGGAUGCUGGGAUUUGAGGUUGUUCUGGGAUGCAGGGGAUUUGAUUGAGAUGAAGACGUGUGAAACAGGGAAGGAAUGGAUUCGGUUGGGAUAUAGCUAUGUUUUGAAGCUAAAACAGGGAUGAACUCGGAACAGGGGAUCCCAUGGGAUCAAG
rnacentral:lncRNA from 1 species